UACGUAGGGUGCGAGCGUUAAUCGGAAUUACUGGGCGUAAAGCGUGCGCAGGCGGUGCACCAAGCUCGAUGUGAAAGCCCCGGGCUUAACCUGGGAAUUGCAUUGAGGACUGGUGUGCUCGAGUGCGGCAGAGGGGGGUGGAAUUCCACGUGUAGCAGUGAAAUGCGUAGAUAUCGGAAGGAACAUCAGUGGCGAAAGCGGCUUCCUGGACCAGCACCGACGUUCAGGCACGAAAGCGUGGGGAGCAAACAGG
rnacentral:rRNA from 1 species